CAAGUCGAACGAAGCACUUUUAUUGAUUUCUUCGGAAUGAAGAUUUAGUGACUGUGUGGCGGACGGGUGAGUAACGCGUGGGUAACCUGCCUCAUACAGGGGGAUAACAGUUAGAAAUGACUGCUAAUACCGCAUAAGACCACAGCACCGCAUGGUGCAGGGGUAAAAACUCCGGUGGUAUGAGAUGGACCCGCGUCUGAUUAGGUAGUUGGUGGGGUAACGGCCUACCAAGCCGACGAUCAGUAGCCGACCUGAGAGGGUGACCGGCCACAUUGGGACUGAGACACGGCCCAAACUCCUACGGGAGGCAGCAGUGGGGAAUAUUGCACAAUGGGGGAAACCCUGAUGCAGCGACGCCGCGUGAGCGAUGAAGUAUUUCGGUAUGUAAAGCUCUAUCAGCAGGGAAGAAAAUGACGGUACCUGACUAAGAAGCACCGGCUAAAUACGUGCCAGCAGCCGCGGUAAUACGUAUGGUGCAAGCGUUAUCCGGAUUUACUGGGUGUAAAGGGAGCGUAGACGGAGUGGCAAGUCUGAUGUGAAAACCCGGGGCUCAACCCCGGGACUGCAUUGGAAACUGUCAAUCUGGAGUACCGGAGGGGUAAGCGGAAUUCCUA
rnacentral:rRNA from 1 species